CCGGAUCCCAGCGGGCCGCCAGCGUGGCACAGUGCCCUUUUCUUUUUUUUCUUUUUGUUUAAAAGUGCUUAAUGUUUGAAUUUGAAUGGUGAAUUCUGUGCUGAUCCAAAAAUAAUGAGAAUUUUUGUACAAACUCUCUGAAAUAUGUAGGAUCCAAGAAAAAUACUAGGUUCUGCUUUCUAAUAGUUUGCAAGGAUAUAAAAAAAUUGGCUCUUUUAAUUAGCAAAUAAAACUUUGAUGAAUUUUAGUAAUUUAUUAGGGUGUCCAAAAAUCACCAAAAAUUGUGGGGAGCCUCUGGAUAUUAUUCCCUGGCUCCACCCAAAAUUUGGUGGCAUUUGGAUAAUGUUUGUUUAAAAUAUUAAUAAACCCUUAUUUAGCACUUAAAUAAUAAUUCCAAAAUAAGUAGAUAGUGAUUAAUUAAAUCCUCAUAAUUAGGGUUGAGUGAUUUUGGGAUUGUGUGAUGACCUGAGGUCAUUAACCCUAAUGACCUUGGCACUUAAUUAUUGUUUAGCCUUAAUGCUUAAUUACUGUCAUUAGUAGUUAAUUAAGAAUUGAUUAAGGUAAAUAGGAUUAAUAAUUAGUUAAUUCAGGAUAAUUAGGAAUUAAAAGGAGUUUUAAUUUACUGAUGCAAUCUCUUGGGUAAAAACAGUAAAUUGUUAAACAACUUUAUUUAGUGACAAUUCUGUAUUGCAUUAAAAAGGCAAAUCGUACUUAAUUCGGUCCAUCUUGCAUAACUGCCAUACGCAUAUCAUAAGCAUUCAUCAUUUUGCGUAUAGUGUCCGUGACCGAAGGAGCGCCCGUUGAACCGAACCCCGAGGUCGGUGCUCCAUUCGAAGAAGUAGGAUCCGAGACUUGGGAAGUCUCCGAGGGUCCCUCUCUGCCCUGCAACCAAGGCAAGCCCCGGAUGCAUUAACCCCUCCUUGGAUAUUUUAAAUCUUUUAUCACUUAUGAAUUGAAAAUGCUGCAUUAGGUAGUUGAGAAUUGGGUUAACCUACUUGCUGCAUUUACUACCUUGACAUCUGUUAUCCUGUCCUUGACACCUGUUUUAUUUUAAAACUGCGUAGCGAUGCUUAGCCCUGCUACUAGAUAGGUUUUCAAACAAGAAAGUUUGAAGGGUUGUUGUGGGAUACACUUAUGAUCAAUGAUGUUUCAAUUUGAGACCGGUCGGUGGACUUGCUCUAAGAAUGGAGUCUUAAAGUAGUGUCUCCGACAGUGUCGAUUAAGGACCGUUCCGUUGAUGGCCUGCUGGGUUGAGAAUUUAUAGUACUAACCGCUUGCCCUCGGUAAGCCCAGUCUUGUGAUCCCUCGACGCGAACAGCUACUCGCGCACUGGGAGUGGAAAGAUGGCGAGAGUAGUGUGUACCCACCUUACGGAUCUGAGAUGACCGGAAAACAUCUAGAUCGGCUGUAGGAUGGUGGAGUACUGUGCUCUCGGGUGCCGCGAACCUGGUCAAAUUUGGGGAGAGCUNNNNNNNNNNNNNNNNNNNNNNNNNNNNNNNNNNNNNNNNNNNNNNNNNNNNNNNNNNNNNNNNNNNNNNNNNNNNNNNNNNNNNNNNNNNNNNNNNNNNAGAUGACAAGUGUCAUAUGGAAUCUUGCUUUGGUCUAUUUGGAGACAGUUUGUUUUGGUGCAAGAUAGGUACACAGUUUGUGCCUAAUGCACCAUAGACUAAGAAACCAUUUUGGACGCACGCGAUGGUACUCAUAGGUAAAGGGGCUCAAGUGGAAGCUUGGUUUGGAGAUAGUGCUAAUCUUGAUGCAUGAUAGGUGCACGAAUUGCAUGGAACGUAGCAUAUGCUUAGAAAUCUAUUUGGAGGCACCCGAUGGAACUCCUAGAUGACAUGUAUCAUAUAGAAUCACAGUUUGAUCUCUUUGGAGAUAGUGUUAGUUUCGGUGCAAGAUAGGUGCACAGUUUGCGCCUAAUGCACCAUAGGCUCAGAAACCAUUGUGGAAGCAUCGGAUGAUACUCCUAGGUGAAGAGGAUGAUGUGGAAGCUUGGUUUAGUCUGUCUGGAGAUAGUGCUAAUCUUGAUGUAAGAUAGGUGCACGGUUUACAUGGAACAUACCAUAUCCUUAGAAAUCAAUUUGUACGAACCCAAUAGAACUCUUAGAUGAUGUGGGUCAUAUGGAUCUCACUUGGUCUAUUUAGAGACAAUGUUAGUUUCAGUGCAAGAUAGGUGCACGGUUGCACAUAAUGCACCAUAGUCUAAGAAACCAUUUUGGACACACCUGGUGGUACUCCUUGGUGAAGAGGCUCACGUGGAAGCUUGGUUCAGUCUGUUUAGAGAUAGUUCUAAUCUUGAUGCAAGAUAGACGCACGGUUUGCAUGGAACGUACCAUAUGCUCAGAAAUCAAUUUGGACACACCCAAUGGAACAGCUAGAUGCACCUAAUGGAACUAAUAGAUGAAGUCUGUCAUAUGGAAUCUCGGUUCGGUCCAGUUGGAGAUAGUAUUAGUUUCGGUGCAAGAUAGGUGCGUGGUUUGUGCCUAGUGCACCAUAGGCUCAGAAACUAUUGUAGAAGUUUCCAAUGGUACUCCUAGGUGAAGAGGCUCAAGUGAAAGCUCAGUUCUGUCUAUUUGGAGAUAGUGCUAAUCUUGAUGCAAGAUAGGUGUACGGUUUGCAUGGAAUGUACCAUAUUCUCAUAAAUCAAUUUGUACGCAACUGAUAGAACUCCUAGUUGAUGUGUGUCAUAUGGAAUCUCGCUUCGGUCUGUUUGGAAUCAGUGUUAGUUUUGAUGCAAGAUAGGUGCACAGUUUGCGCCUAAUGCACCAUAGGCUCAGAAACCAUUGUGGAAGCACCCGAUGAGACUCCUAGGUGAAGAGGCUCAAGUGGAAGCUCGGUUUGGUCUGCUUGGAGAUAGUGCUAAUUUUGAUGCAUGAUAAGUGCUUGGUUUGCAUGGAACAUACCAUAUGCUCAGAAAUUAAUUUAGACACAACUAAUAGAACUCUUAAUGACAUAUGUCAUAUGGAAUCUCACUUCGGUCUAUUUGGAGAUAGUGUUAGUUUUGGUGAAGAUAGGUGCACGGUUUGCACCUAAUGCGCUAGAGGCUAAGAAAACAUUUAGGGCGCACGCGAUGGUACUCCUAGGUAAAGGGGCUCAAGUGGAAGCUCGGUUUGGAGAUAGUGCUAAUCUUGAUGAAAGAUAGGUGCAUGAAUUGCAUGGAAUGUACCUUAGAAAUCUAUUUGGAAGCACCCAAUAGAACUCCUAGAUGACGUGUGUCAUAUAGAAUCUCACUUCGGUCUCUUUGGAGAUAGUGUUAGUUUCGGUGCAAGAUAGGUAUGCCUAAUGCACCAUAGGCUAAGAAACCGUUUUGGACGCACGUGAUGUUACUCCUAGGUAGAGGGGCUCAAGUAGAAGCUCGAUUUGGAUAUAGUGUUAAUCUUGAUGUAAGAUAGGUGCACGGUUUGCUUGGAACGUUCCAUAUGCUCGGAAAUCAAUUUCGACGCACCUGAUAGAACUCCUAGAUAAUGUGAGUCAUAUAGAAUCUCGCUUCGGUCCUUUUGGAGACAAUGUUAGUAUCUAUACAAGAUAGGUACACGGUUUGCGCCUAAUGCACCAUAAGCUCAGACACCAUUGUGGAAGCACCCGAUGAUACUCCUAGGUGAAGAGGCUGAUGUGGAAGCUCGGUUCGGUCUGUUUGGAGAUAGUGCUAAUCUUGAUGUAAGAUAGGUGCACGGUUUUCAUGUAACAUACCAUAUGCCUAGAAAUCAAUUUAUACGCACCCAAUAGAACUCUUAGAUGAUGUGUGUGUAACAUCCCUGAUGUUACGGUUACUAAAAAUGGAUCAUGUCAUCACGAGCAUUGCAAAUCAUAUUUGUUAAAGUACAUUAGUAUGCAUCAACUUAAAACAAGUUUAUUUUUAUUGCUUGAGCUUAGGGAGGUAGAGUGUGUUUAUGUGGGAUGUUGAUGCUUGUGUGGUUGCUAAAAACCCUAGGGUGGAAUUUUUUUCCGAAAAGCUAAGGGGGGGAAAACCCUGAUUUCUGGAUCCUAGAUUUGUCCCCUUUUGCAUAAGUCAAAAACUAAGCAAAAUUUGAGGUUGAGUUCAAAAGAAAAGUUGUAGCUCUUGGCAAGAUGUACAACUUUGGUGUUUUGAGUUUUUGAGGUUUCAAUACAAGAUUCAAAGUAAUUUUGAAAAUACAGAUUUCCGAAAAGUGUCCCCUUUUCCAACUUAAACCCCCAAUUCAAAAUCCAUUUGGAAUUUUGAAAAGUGGUCAACAUGAAAGUUGUAGAGCACAAAAAUUUGAGCAACUUUCAUGUUGGGAGUUUUUCAAGUUGUUAUGCCAAAUCAAAAGUAAUUUUGGAAAUCAUGAUUUGCCCCAAUUCAAAAAUUUGAAUUUCCUUUGAAUUGAGUUGAUUUUCAAACUGCCUGGCAAAAUUAACCUUUUUCCUUUGAGAAUCAGCUUGGGACACCUAAAUAUGAUUUGUAGCUUACAAAAUUUGGCACAACUUUUGUUUUGGUGGAAAUUUGACUUUAGUUCAAAUUUUGGUCGGAUUUCGCAAAAAGACAAACUGAAUGGAUGUGGCCUGCUACAGUGUUUGGCAGGGGGGGUGCUCUGCCGCCGCGGCAGAGCCGCCUCCGCGCGCGACGCCAUGCAGCUGGCCACGCAGCUGCUUGCUGCUGUGCUUCGCGCAGACGGCCUCAUCCACAUCCCCUGUUCCGCCGCUUGGAUAAAGCCUCGGACGGCCGGAGUGUUUCUUUUUCUUCCUUUGAACCUCACCGCCGACCACCACCAUCCGCCGCAAAAAUUCGUCCUCUCCGUUGCCUUUCCACGCGAUUUGAGCACCCCAGCGACUCCGCCUUGAGCUCCGCCACCGGUUGCACCCCCACGCACAAGCUAUAACCCACCCGCGCCCUCUACCGAGCCAUUUCCUUCCAACUCCGGCCAAAGCGCCGCCGGGAGCACUUCACCGUGGCCAGCUUCACCCCGCGCCUCCCCGCUGCUGUUUCUUGCUUCGUUGAAGUCACGGUGAGCUUCUGGUGCUGUUGCGCCGCUUACUUCACGCUCUACUCGCCUGAAGCGGCCGACGUUGGCUCGGCCGCGGCGGCCAUCCGCCAUGAGCGUGGACAGGGAGGGUAGGAGGGAGUAGAGGUGGUCUCGUGUGUCCUAGAGGUUGCGUGAGACACCGGAGAUGCUAACCCACCCCGCCGCGCAGGCCGGGAGCUCACCGGCGCGGAGCCGGAGCUCACCGGAGCGGUGGUGGGAGGUUGAAGACGCCUCUGACGGGCGGGACCCGCCCGUCAGUGGCCGCGUAAAAGAGAGCGCGCGCGCGGUCCGCGCGGGAGAGCACUCUCGGGCCAACUUGGGCCGGAUCCCAGCGGGCCGCCAGCGUGGCACAGUGCCCUUUUCUUUUUUUUCUUUUUGUUUAAAAGUGCUUAAUGUUUGAAUUUGAAUGGUGAAUUCUGUGCUGAUCCAAAAAUAAUGAGAAUUUUUGUACAAACUCUCUGAAAUAUGUAGGAUCCAAGAAAAAUACUAGGUUCUGCUUUCUAAUGGUUUGCAAGGAUAUAAAAAAAUUGGCUCUUUUAAUUAGCAAAUAAAACUUUGAUGAAUUUUAGUAAUUUAUUGCGGUGUCCAAAAAUCACCAAAAAUUGUGGGGAGCCUCUGGAUAUUAUUCCCUGGCUCCACCCAAAAUUUGGUGGCAUUUGGAUAAUGUUUGUUUAAAAUAUUAAUAAACCCUUAUUUAGCACUUAAAUAAUAAUUCCAAAAUAAGUAGAUAGUGAUUAAUUAAAUCCUCAUAAUUAGGGUUGAGUGAUUUUGGGAUUGUGUGAUGACCUGAGGUCAUUAACCCUAAUGACCUUGGCACUUAAUUAUUGUUUAGCUUUAAUGCUUAAUUACUGUCAUUAGUAGUUAAUUAAGAAUUGAUUAAGGUAAAUAGGAUUAAUAAUUAGUUAAUUCAGGAUAAUUAGGAAUUAAAAGGAGUUUUAAUUUACUGAUGCAAUCUCUUGGGUAAAAACAGUAAAUUGUUAAACAACUUUAUUUAGUGACAAUUCUGUAUUGCAUUAAAAAGGCAAAUCGUACUUAAUUCGGUCCAUCUUGCAUAACUGCCAUACGCAUAUCAUAAGCAUUCAUCAUUUUGCGUAUAGUGUCCGUGACCGAAGGAGCGCCCGUUGAACCGAACCCCGAGGUCGGUGCUCCAUUCGAAGAAGUAGGAUCCGAGACUUGGGAAGUCUCCGAGGGUCCCUCUCUGCCCUGCAACCAAGGCAAGCCCCGGAUGCAUUAACCCCUCCUUGGAUAUUUUAAAUCUUUUAUCACUUAUGAAUUGAAAAUGCUGCAUUAGGUAGUUGAGAAUUGGGUUAACCUACUUGCUGCAUUUACUACCUUGACAUCUGUUAUCCUGUCCUUGACACCUGUUUUAUUUUAAAACUGCGUAGCGAUGCUUAGCCCUGCUACUAGAUAGGUUUUCAAACAAGAAAGUUUGAAGGGUUGUUGUGGGAUACACUUAUGAUCAAUGAUGUUUCAAUUUGAGACCGGUCGGUGGACUUGCUCUAAGAAUGGAGUCUUAAAGUAGUGUCUCCGACAGUGUCGAUUAAGGACCGUUCCGUUGAUGGCCUGCUGGGUUGAGAAUUUAUAGUACUAACCGCUUGCCCUCGGUAAGCCCAGUCUUGUGAUCCCUCGACGCGAACAGCUACUCGCGCACUGGGAGUGGAAAGAUGGCGAGAGUAGUGUGUACCCACC
rnacentral:lncRNA from 1 species